rnacentral:rRNA from 1 species
AUUUAAGGUYUAAUCUGCCCACUGAAAAUUUUAAUGGCCGCAGUAAUUUGACUGUGCAAAGGUAGCAUAAUCAUUAGUUUUUUAAUUGAAAGCUUGUAUGAAUGAUUGGACGAGAUAAAUUCUGUCUUUGGAUAAUAAAUAGAAUUUAAUUUUUGAGUUAAAAAGCUUAAAUUUAAAUAAAAGACGAGAAGACCCUAUAGAUCUUUAUUAAAUUUAAAUUAUUAUUAUUUAAGAUUAUUUUAUUUAUUAAUUUUGGUUUAAUUUUAUUGGGGUAAUAAGAAGAUUAAAAAAAUUCUUUUAUAUUGUUACAAAAAUUAUUGAUUUUAAGAUCCUAAAAUUUAGAUUAUAAGAUUAAGUUACCUUAGGGAUAACAGCGUAAUUUCUUUAGAGAGUUCAUAUUGAUAAAGAUGUUUGCGACCUCGAUGUUGGAUUAAAAGUUAUUUUAGGUGCAGUAGUUUAAAAUUUUGGUCUGUUCGACCAUUAAACUUUU